GGUCUUUUUAGCAGGGGCCUUACGGGUGCGCGCUUCGGUCCUGGAGGCCUUAUCCUAGCCUCCUCUCUCCAUCAGCGCCACCCGUCUGGGGCCCAAAAGGAGGGAGCUUUACCUCUGUCCCCCAGCCUUUGGAGUGUCACCAAACAAGCCAUUCGUUCACCAAAUACUUAUUAAGUGCCUGACAACGGAGAUGUAACGGCUUCCAAGGCGAUCGAUCGGGCAGUGUCGGUCUGCAGCUGCUAAGCCAAGAAGAUCUGGAAAGGAGUCAGUCAGAGAGCCUUGGGCUCUGGGAGUGGUGCCAGUUCUACAAGGCCUGGAGCAGAUACGAAAAACCUCCCUUCUUUGCCAAAUGGUCCCCAGCUUCCCCAUUCACUGAAGGCCCUGCGGUCAGGAACAGUCAGGACUUUGCACCCAGUUGUUGUGAGUGUUGGCCGACCCUUCCUCUUGUGUGAUUCAUGGACCCUUAGCAUUGCAUCACCUGGGAGCUUUUGGAAUUGAAGACUCUCAGCGCUCACCGGAAGGACCUCCUGGGCCAGAAUCUGCAUUUUAACAAGAUGCCCAGGGCUUCUCAACCAGGGGGUGAUUUUGCCCCCAAGAGAACAUGUGGCCAUGUCUGGAGACAAUUUUGGUUGUUGCAGCUGGAGGAGGUGGUGCUACUGGCAGCUAAUAGGUAGAGGCCACGGAUGCUGCUAAACAUCCUACAAUGCUCCGGACAACUCCCACUAAGACAAAAGAAUGAUCCAGCCCCAAAUGUCAAUAGUGCUGAAAGUGAGAGACCCUGAUUCCAUCUUAGAGAUCAUCCAAGCACACUUGGCCAAAUAGUUUUUGCUACUAUCCCAUGAAGAAAAGGCAGACUCAUGACUGAUGGCAACGUCGAUGGGAAUUUUGUUUACUUCUUCUUUGUGGACUUUGGGAUACGAUGACUUACCAUUUGUGCAAGUUGUGCAUUGCAUACCUCCAGGGGGCGCCACCCACAUAUUUAUGAAAAUGCCACCCCAGGAAUUGCACAGUACAUAGUCUACAUGGCAAUAAACAGUUGCUCUGGUUUUGGGGUUGUCCUGGGUUGCUCUGGAACUGGGAGGAACUUUAUUUCUGGCCAUUAGAGGCCCUGAGCAUGACAUUGAGUAUCCUUUCAAGAAAGGAGAAAUGUUGAACAGAGAGGACCUCAUUUUUAUAACUCUUGACCAUCAUCUAGUUACGCAGCAUCCACUUUUCACCCCUGGGCCAUAUCCAUUUGACGGAUGAAAAAUCAUCAAAUUAUAAUAUCAUGGCUUUUACUUUUGAUAGCUUCUGCCCGGAACAUGGCGGUAACAGCUUCUCAUUUUCAAUUGAUUCAUUGGGGGAGAAAAUAUACACGACUGCCCUAAGACUUUCUAUUACAUACCAUUUGUUUGACGGGAUUUCUUUAGUUUCUGUAGCAUAACUUAUUCUAACUGGUCCUCAAUCACUUUGCAAUAAAACCUGAGAUUGUGAAGAUGUUCACUGUCAUUACCAGUGACGGAGCAGUAAGUACAGAGUUCUGGAGAGGGAAGGAAUCGAGAGAGUUAAACUAGCAGAAUGAGCCGCUCACCCUCAGCAUUGCUUUUAAUCUUGCUCCUCCCACUGAAGAAUUGGAGUAUAUUUCUCCAGCCCCUAAUGUUGGGUUUAGUCAU
ensembl:lncRNA LINC02021 long intergenic non-protein coding RNA 2021